rnacentral:lncRNA from 1 species
CUGAAUUACAGCCAGCAGCCAUGACGAACAGAUGAGAAGCAGAUAAGGACAAUUUCUAGUUUUCUCCUCUUGGAUCUGAGUAUCCUGACCAGCUCAAACAAGAAAGGGAAAAUCAGCCUUAGAUGUUGAACCUGUUUCUUCCACUGCCCUGUUAAUUUUGCACAUAAGCUCCAAGCUCUCCUAAGGGUCCCCACAUAUAUAGAAAUCAAUCCCGAUCCCAGGAUGAUGUGGAAAUCUGUGGCGUUGCCUGUUGACUCCUGCAUAAAGAAAGGCAUGAAUUAUACGUGUACGGCCCGUUCUCUGUGUACAUGAGCUGCAUCAUCUGUUAAAGAAAAACUCGCUCAGAAAACACUUUGGGUAUUAAUCCAGGAGGGAGGAUCUGGAUUCUGCCUUGGA